UUGUUAUUUUUAUCGAACUUUAUGACCUUUUUAGAAAAGGGGUUUUUUAGUUUAUCAAGAGUGGGAGAGAAAUUAGAAUUGAAAAUUGAACAUGGGAAUUUUUUGUAAUGGAGCGAAGAGAGAAUCAAACUCCACAAGGGCAAAUAGGUCGGGUUUUGGUUGAAUUUUUGGAAGUUGCUAUUACCUCUGUUGUUUUUCUUAAAGGGAUUUAUCCUCAAGGUGCUUUUGAGAGGGCAAGGUAUAUGAAUGUGGUGGUCCAAAGGGCUUGUCAUCCUCAGCUUAGAUAUUACAUACAUGCCACUGUUUCAGGACUUCUUCCCUUUAUACAAAAGGGCAUGGUUGAAAGAGUAGCUGUUAUUUUCUUCAAUGCUGAUAAUGUUCCACUCGAGAAAUUUGUUUUCAAGCUUGCAAUGAACCUCUCCUAUGGUUCAGCUGUGGAAGAGGUUGAUCUUCAGCUCUCUCUCAGAUCAUUUAUGAGCAAGCUGUCAAUCUCGGAAUCUCUAACUAAGAAGCUGCCUCCUGAUUGCAGGUGGGAGAUAACUGCUUAUUUUCGAUCCAUUCCGGAGGCCGGUACAAGCAAGGAAGCAGACUUGUGGAUCCCAACCGACACAAAGCAGUGGCAGCAACCUCCACUUAUAACCCCUAUCAAGUCAAUGAGUAGUGAACCUUUGUGUUUGCAAUUGUACCUGGAGCAUCCAUUUUUAUCAGAAUCUUUGCUUUGAGAAGGGAACUUCAAGUCUGGUUGGUAGCUUAAAAACUACAAGCACAAUUUUUAAAUGGAAGUAAAAGAUUAUGAAGGAACACCUCAUAAUCAUCUCAGUGCACUUUUGUUUACACAUGCAAUGGUCAUUAUUGGGGGCUAGUGGUUAGAAAGCAUGUUCUCAAUAUCUGGAAUAUUAAAAGAACUUUUUACCAGCACUGGAGGGCCUCCAUUGAACUCUCCCCUAAUGAAAAGUUGCUUACUUUUUGCUGUGAUUUGAAGGUAGGAGAGAGAGGAUUUUGAUAAUGUAUUUUAUGGAUGGACACUGUAAAAGCACUAUGGUUGAUGUAGUCUCUUUCAGUUGGUUCAAAUUGUGUUACUUGAGAACAUGCUGUUAGAGAAUUAUUAUUAAUUUUGAAGAGCUUCUUUGGUUUAAUAACAUAGGCAGUAAUACUUGUAUGAAUGUUUUAAAAUACUUUUGGAAAUAGUUUAUGAUGUGCACACAUACUAGAACUCAAUUUAAACAUAUGUGCUGAGUUUCUAGAUCUUAUGGGAACCCAAUUCGAGUCCAUUUAUGUAAA